rnacentral:lncRNA from 1 species
AUGGAUGCCUGGUUAAAGAGCACAGCCUUGCAGCAGUGUGACAACACUGAGGAUGAGGACGCCUGUGUGGAGCUCCAUGUUCUUUGCAUCUCACGAGGCCAAUCAAAUCUGGAUGCCAUCAUCUUGAGUAUUUGUCAAAACGUUCUACAUCUGAAGUCUGGGUGCCGCGGAAGGUGGAGUCCCAGAAGGCCCAACGGCGAGGCUGCCUAGAAACACGGGGACAGAGGGGACCGCUGCUCAGUCAAGAUUCCCAGCACAGCUAGAUUAGAGAGACGUCACGCUUUAACAAGCAGAAAUUUCAACAUCUCCACAAAUUAAGUCAAACUAAUAGACAUUUUUCUUUCACAAAAUAAUAAAAUAGAGAUAUUUCUUACA